CGUGGCUGCACGUGACCAAAUACGUCACUGGCUGUCAGGCAACGAAGUGGUCCAGUGGAUUCACUGGGGUGGGCAUGAUAGUUCCAACCAACCAGAGCUGGAUGCACAUGAGCCUGCACACACUCUUUAGCCCACCUGAUUGUUUUCUACUAUAAAACUCAAGGCAUAUGUAAAAUAGUCACGGAUACCUUAAGGAAGGCCCCUGUUAGGUUUAUGGUGACUUCAGGGUGGGUUGACUUCUUUAUGAUCAACCUAGACUUCCACUCCCUCCCUGGGCAAAGAGCUGGCCCAGCACUCCAAGUAGGGAGCUCUUUAUGGAUAUUGAUCGCUGCUCUGGAGAUGAGCUAGGACCAGACUGGAAGCAUGAGUUGCGGGGCUGCUGGGGUUAAACGGGAAGAGAGCAUGCUGGUGGGGGCUGCCAGGAGAGCUUGAUGAGGGAGCAGUUCUCUGAAUGGGAGACUUGUUACUUGCACACAGAGCCUUCAAUGACUGUGACAUUUUGCUCUAUGUCACAGGCUCCUGGGGCCUACAGAAAGGAGCUGGAGGUGCCUAGUGCAGGCUGGGAGGCCUCCUUUAUUGAGGUGACAUCCCUGGAUGCUGGCUUGGCGGAGGUUGGGGAGAACGCUGCCUCCCUGGAAUAGAAGAUGCCUUGGAAGCCCUGGGUGCAGGCUGGCCGACCCUGCCUGAGCUGCCUGUCUUCAUUCCAUGGCUCUGCUUGUUAGAGGAGGAAGUUAGGCAGACAUGAGUGGCGCCCACCAGCCCAGGAAUGUCAGGUGACCAUCAGGUGAUGGUCAGGCAGUUGUUAAACUGUCUCUCUGAAAUGAUCAUUGGUUGCAGCUCACACCAGGGGAAGAUGGUCUCCCAAUAAAUAAAAAAACACCUGAAACUGGUGAUCAGCAGCUUCCCGAUAAGCUCUCGAGUUGGGCGAGUGGGCUCAAGCGUGCGCACUAAGAGGCAAAAUGGCGGAUGUAUGAACUUCCUCUGGGGGCAUUCAACCAGUAAAGGAAAACCGCCCCUAGAGAGCAUGCGCACAACCUCAGUCAACUCACUACACAUGCAAUUACCCUCCUGAGUGCUGACCAACACUGCUGCAUGGGGCUGUUGAGCAACAGCCCGCCCCAAGGGAAGAACCGAGGGAGGAGAAGAGAAAACUCCAGAGCCGUGCCAACGGAUAAACCCCACGCCCAGGGCUGAGCGGUCACUUGGAUCUCUCACGUGGCGCACUCAGCCCUCUUCCAAAUUCUUUCCACUGAGGAGGCAAGGAUGGAGUUGCUGCUGACCCGUGCAGAUUUGCUGCUGGUAACAUACUCAUGGGCAAAGUCUGAAAAACCUCUUCCUGCCCUGGGCAAGGCAGAUGGGGCAGCCCAGCAGGCUGGCUUUGCCCACCGUCUCCGAUAUCAUCCAACACAGUCAGCCAGGCCACAUUCGCUGCAUCCUUUCCAGCAAGAUGUCAUUCUGAGAUUUUUGUCAUUCCUGGGCGUUAUGAGGACUGCCAAGGGACACAAUUCCAUGGGAGGAAAGUUUUCUUCUAAGCUGCAAGCCAGCUCUGGCUUCUGGAGUUUCUCCUUAGGAUUGCAAGACAGUAGUUCCCUGUCCUUUAGGUCUUCUCCAGAAAUACCUUAAAAUAGCAAAUAAA
rnacentral:lncRNA from 1 species